AGAAAUGGAAAUGAUUACCGAUUAGCAAGUGUCAAUCAAGAAGCUCUGCUGUUCCGGUCUAACAAUUAUGUAGUAGUCUGCGAUAUUGAUGCUGGUAUAAGUGCCAAGACAUUGUUUGUGUAUAUGUUAUCCGAUGAUCUUCCUUCUGUGUUUAUAUAAAAAAAUUCAUUAGUUAGGGCCUGUGUUGUAAAAAUGCGGUCUGCUUGUCCCUGACUAUAAUAAUUUCAUUGAGAUCAAAGUUCUGCUACCCUCAUUUUAGAGAUGAAAUUUCGGUGAUAUGCUAUGCUAUGCCACUCAAGGAUGGGUUGCUGGUUUGAAUAUCAACGCAACGGUGUGCUAAUCACGACCUUUGAUGGAGUUUAGGCUUGUGCUGCUGUGCUCCUGGUGAGA
rnacentral:lncRNA from 1 species